GACGAACCGUGCGAACGUUAUUCGGAAUCACUGGGCUUAAAGGGAGCGUAGGCGGGCUAUCAAGUCUGGGGUGAAAUCCCACGGCUCAACCGUGGAACUGCCUCAGAUACUGACGGCCUCGAGGGAGAUAGGGGCAUGCGGAACUGUAGGUGGAGCGGUGAAAUGCGUUGAUAUCUACAGGAACUCCGGUGGCGAAAGCGGCGUGCUGGAUCUCUUCUGACGCUGAGGCUCGAAAGCUAGGGGAGCAAACGGG
rnacentral:rRNA from 1 species